rnacentral:rRNA from 1 species
UACGAAGGGUGCAAGCGUUACUCGGAAUUACUGGGCGUAAAGCGUGUGUAGGCGGUUUGUUAAGUCCGUUGUGAAAGCCCUGGGCUCAACCUGGGAAUUGCAGUGGAUACUGGCGAGCUAGAGUGCGGUAGAGGAUGGUGGAAUUCCCGGUGUAGCGGUGAAAUGCGUAGAGAUCGGGAGGAACACCCGUGGCGAAGGCGGCCAUCUGGACCAGCACUGACGCUGAGGCACGAAAGCGUGGGGAGCAAACAGG